GGUUGGUUUGGGAGAUGUUACGUGUUUAUGGUAUAGACAGUCCGGUCGACUUCAACAUCAAAAAAGGAGGUUGGAACGAUCUUCAAGAUGAUUCACAGGAUCCGUGGAGAAAUUUCCUGCGCUCCUCCGCCGGUCGGCUCAUGUUUACGGGGUCGUGGGUGAGCUGGAGUUGUUGACUUUGGGGGGGAGGGGUGUGAUACACCUUGGACCGGUUGCUAGUAAUGGUGGGGACGAACAACACCGGUGCGGCAGCACUGGGGCGAGUCUGCAGGUGUGAAACCCCUUAUUGGCUCUGCUCCACGGAACUGUCUUAUGUCACUGAAUGCACAUCAUCAACGCUGAGGCAAUAUAGAGGUCGACGUGGCAAUGAAGAGUUGUCAGACAGUCCGACUGUGAGUACCUCAGGUAUGAUGACAUUUAAUUUCAUGAUCAAUUGGGACUUGCAUUCCUCAGUAAAAAUGUAUAUUUUGCGGGCGAACUCAUUUGAGCAUAGACACAAAGAAGCUAAUUUGGAAACGUUCUCAUCAACAUCUUAACUCGGUUAACAAAUGGACCAAAUGAAAUGACACAAAGAUGAAGUCAUAUUUCAAGUCGUCAUAUUUCAAGUAAAAGUUUCACAGGCUUUUUGGGGAUUUACAAGUUUUUCCUUUUCUACUUUUUGUUUACCUGCAAUGAUGUCAGAUGUACAGCAGAGGUCCCUAUCGAGUGACCAACACAGUAUCAAUACAGUGUCAACACACUUUGCAUCAUGUGUCAAUACACCCAAAGUGUCUUGUCGUCUGUCCAUCGCUUGUUGCUAGCCAAUCGCAAGACACAUUUAGACUAUUAACUUCACGUUCACACUUUCCUCCUCCUCUACGAACAAAAACAAAGAGUUAAUUUUAUAUUUUGUUUG